UGCGUAGGCGGAAGAUUAAGUCAGUAGUGAAAUCCUGCAGCUCAACUGUAGAACUGUUAUUGAUACUGAUCUUCUUGAAUACAGUUGAGGUAGGCGGAAUAUGUAAUGUAGCGGUGAAAUGCUUAGAUAUUACAUAGAACACCGAUUGCGAAGGCAGCUUACUAAACUAUGAUUGACGCUGAGGUACGAAAGCGUGGGGAGCGAACAGGAUUAGAUACCCUGGUAGUCC
rnacentral:rRNA from 1 species